GAUGCAAAUAUCAGGCAGCUAUACUUUCCUAUCUGAAAGGGAAAUAGAAGAUCUCUGCAGAGCCUGCGGCCUGGUUGAUUUUAAAUGUACAAGGAACAGAGGUUUUGUUAUGUUUACUGCUACAAAACCCAGCUAAAAUUGACUGCCUAUCAGCAGUUGCUCUCCACUCUGCUCCGUGCUCUCAAAUUAUUGAGUCUACAAAAAAGCAGUUAUUGGACCAACUGUCUCAGAAGAUAAAUUAUUGUCUUUUGUGUUAAGAGAAUGCUUGGUGAUAUAGGAAUGUAGUGUAAGGUUAGAGAAUGCUUGGUGAUAUAG
rnacentral:lncRNA from 1 species